CAACUGAAGAUGGCGACCGGCGCACGGGUGAGUAACACGUAUCCAACCUGCCGAUAACUCCGGAAUAGCCUUUCGAAAGAAAGAUUAAUACCGGAUAGUAUACGAAUAUCGCAUGAUAUUUUUAUUAAAGAAUUUCGGUUAUCGAUGGGGAUGCGUUCCAUUAGUUUGUUGGCGGGGUAACGGCCCACCAAGACUACGAUGGAUAGGGGUUCUGAGAGGAAGGUCCCCCACAUUGGAACUGAGACACGGUCCAA
rnacentral:rRNA from 1 species